rnacentral:rRNA from 1 species
GAUGAACGCUGGCGGCGUGCCUAACACAUGCAAGUCGAGCGAUUUACUUCGGUAAAGAGCGGCGGACGGGUGAGUAACGCGUGGGUAACCUGCCUCAUACACAUGGAUAACAUACCGAAAGGUAUGCUAAUACAGGAUAAUAUAAGAGAUUCACAUGGAUUUCUUAUCAAAGCUCCGGCGGUAUGAGAUGGACCCGCGUCUGAUUAGCUAGUUGGUAAGGUAAUGGCUUACCAAGGCGACGAUCAGUAGCCGACCUGAGAGGGUGAUCGGCCACAUUGGAACUGAGACACGGUCCAAACUCCUACGGGAGGCAGCAGUGGGGAAUAUUGCACAAUGGGCGAAAGCCUGAUGCAGCAACGCCGCGUGAGUGAUGAAGGCCUUCGGGUCGUAAAACUCUGUCCUCAAGGAAGAUAAUGACGGUACUUGAGGAGGAAGCCCCGGCUAACUACGUGCCAGCAGCCGCGGUAAUACGUAGGGGGCUAGCGUUAUCCGGAUUUACUGGGCGUAAAGGGUGCGUAGGUGGUUUUUUAAGUCAGGAGUGAAAGGCUACGGCUCAACCGUAGUAAGCUCUUGAAACUGGAAAACUUGAGUGCAGGAGAGGAAAGUGGAAUUCCUAGUGUAGCGGUGAAAUGCGUAGAUAUUAGGAGGAACACCAGUAGCGAAGGCGGCUUUCUGGACUGUAACUGACACUGAGGCACGAAAGCGUGGGGAGCAAACAGGAUUAGAUACCCUGGUAGUCCACGCCGUAAACGAUGAGUACUAGGUGUCGGGGGUUACCCCCCUCGGUGCCGCAGCUAACGCAUUAAGUACUCCGCCUGGGGAGUACGCUCGCAAGAGUGA